rnacentral:rRNA from 1 species
GACGUAGGGCGCGAGCGUUGUCCGGAUUUAUUGGGCGUAAAGAGCUCGUAGGCGGCUUGUUGCGUCGACUGUGAAAACCCGAGGCUCAACCUCGGGCCUGCAGUCGAUACGGGCGGACUGGAGUUCGGCAGGGGAGACUGGAAUUCCUGGUGUAGCGGUGAAAUGCGCAGAUAUCAGGAGGAACACCGGUGGCGAAGGCGGGUCUCUGGGCCGAUACUGACGCUGAGGAGCGAAAGCGUGGGGAGCGAACAGG